UACGUAGGGUCCAAGCGUUAUCCGGAAUCACUGGGCGUAAAGCGUGCGUAGGUGGUUUGUUAAGUGUGGUGUUAAAUCGUGGGGCUCAACCCCUAUCGAUGCAUCGCAUACUGGCAGACUAGAGGACAGCAGAGGCAAGUGGAAUUUGUAGUGUAGCAGUGAAAUGCGUAGAUAUUACAAGGAACACCAAUGCGAAGGCAGCUUGCUGGGCUACUCCUGACACUGAGGUACGAAAGCGUGGGGAGCGAACAGG
rnacentral:rRNA from 1 species